rnacentral:rRNA from 1 species
GACGAACGCUGGCGGCGUGCUUAACACAUGCAAGUGGAGCGACGAACCGGGGCUUGCCCCGGGGCAAAGCCGCGAACGGGUGAGUAACACGUGGGUAACCUACCUCGAUGACCGGGACAACCCGAGGAAACUCGGGCUAAUACCGGAUGUGCUCUUUUGUCGUAAGGCAACUGAGGAAAGAUAGCUUCGGCCUUCGCAUCGAGACGGGCCCGCGGCCCACUUAGCUUGUUGGUGGGGUAACGGGCCUACCAAGGCUGCGAUGGGUAGCUGGUCUGAGAGGACGAUCAGCCACACUGGGACGUGAGACACGGCCCAGACUCCUACGGGAGGGCAGCAGUGGGGAAUCUUGCACAAUGCGCGAAAGCGUGAUGC